CCUACGGGCGGCAGCAGUGAGGAAUAUUGGUCAGUGGGCGCGAGCCUGAACCAGCCAAGUAGCGUGAAGGAUGACUGCCCUACGGGUUGUAAACUUCUUUUAUAAAGGACUAAAGUGAGGCACGUGUGCCUUUUUGUAUGUCCUUUAUGAAUAAGGAUCGACUAACCCCGUGCCAGCAGCCCCGGUAAUACGGAGGAUCCGAGCGUUAUCCGGAUUUUUUGGGUUUAAAGGGUUCGUAGAUGGGUUGUUAAGUCAGUUGUGAAAGUUUGCGGCUCAACCGUAAAAUUGCAAUUGAUACUGGCAGUCUUGAGUACAGUUGAGGUAGGCGGAAUGCGUGGUGUAGCGGUGAAAUGCUUAGAUAUCACGAAGAACUCCGAUUGCGAAGGCAGCUUACUAAACUGCCACUGACAUUGAUGCUCGAAAGUGUGGGUAUCAAACAGGAUUAGAUACCCGAGUAGUC
rnacentral:rRNA from 1 species